rnacentral:misc_RNA from 1 species
UUUCCGUAGGUAAACCUGCGGAAGGAUCAUUAUUGUAUAACCGAAGAACGAGAGGUCGCACUGACCAGAUAGCGCGUGCAGGCCCGAGAGCCCGCACACACAUCCAGCUCACCCCUAGGUGCACCACGGCGUGGAUCCCGCUAUUGCUUGUUCUGCGGGGGGCUUACGUUUUCACACGAGCUUGGUAUGCAGUGGAGAAUGUAUUUUGUGUUUUUGCGCUCACGCAAUCAAUACAACUGUCAACAACGGAUCUCUUGGCUCGCGCCUCGAUGAAUAACC